rnacentral:misc_RNA from 1 species
UAUUUCAUUACGCCAUAUGGCAGACAAACAUCCAAUAUCUUAAACAAGAGUUUAUGAAUUUCGAAAGCAGUCUUUAACCUGCCUUCAAAUCUAAGUGCACAGGUGUAAAUUGGACUAGGAGAGCGAGCACAUAUAGUCAAAACUACCAGCAUCAACUCUCCAUAAUUCAUUAAUGAUCCUUCCGCAGGUUCACCUACGGAAA